CCUACGGGUGGCGGCAGUGAGGAAUAUUGGUCAAUGGACGAGAGUCUGAACCAGCCAAGUAGCGUGAAGGAUGACUGCCCUAUGGGUUGUAAACUUCUUUUAUAUGGGAAUAAAAUGUUCCACGUGUGGGAUUUUGUAUGUACCAUAUGAAUAAGGAUCGGCUAACUCCGUGCCAGCAGCCGCGGUAAUACGGAGGAUCCGAGCGUUAUCCGGAUUUGUUGGGUUUAAAGGGAGCGUAGGUGGAUUGUUAAGUCAGUUGUGAAAGUUUGCGGCUCAACCGUAAAAUUGCAGUUGAAACUGGCAGUCUGGAGUACAGUAGAGGUAGGCGGAAUUCGUGGUGUAGCGGUGAAAUGCGUAGAUAUCACGAAGAACUCCGAUUGCGAAGGCAGCUCACUGGACUGCAACUGACACUGAGGCUCGAAAGUGUGGGUAUCAAACAGGAUUAGAUACCCCAGUAGUC
rnacentral:rRNA from 1 species